GCCCUUGUGGAGGGGGUGACCUGGACUGGUUCCAGUUCCUGUCCCAGUUUGCUUCAGCAAAGCCAGCUGCUGAAAUGAUGACUUCAUGGCUUCCAGUGAUCUUUCUAUUCAGUUAUAGGCAAGACUUUCAUUGCAGUGAUGAUGUCAUGUCAGCUCUACCCUGUUGGUUGCUGUUCCUUCCAGUUGGUUCUUCUUGAUGCUCAGAUCCCACCUACCCACAGCAAGAUCUACUUACAUGGUUAUUUACAGCAGAUUUUCCCUUGUAAACAUAAAAAAUGUAAUUGUUUUUCUUGUUUGCUGUGCUGCCUUUGGAGCAGUGCUGCUGUCUGGCUUUUAAGCCUAAUGCCACGGUGCAUCUGACAGCAGAAAUGAGAAGGAAUGAUAUAAAAUCUGAGGGUUUUGUUCAAAAUAUAAUAUGGAUUUGGGAAACUCCGAUGUGAAAGAGGUUUCUUCUAUAAUUUAAAUCCUUAGGAAAUAAUAAUAUUAUCUGUUUUCCUGCUUUUUUUAAAAAAAAUAAA